UACGUAGGGAGCAAGCGUUGUCCGGAAUCAUUGGGCGUAAAGCGCGCGUAGGCGGCCUCGUAAGUCCGUUGUGAAAGUCAAAGGCUCAACCUUUGAAAGCCGAUGGAUACUGUGAGGCUAGAGUCCGGAAGAGGCGAGUGGAAUUCCUGGUGUAGCGGUGGAAUGCGCAGAUAUCAGGAGGAGCACCAAUAGCGAAGGCAGCUCGCUGGGACGGUACUGACGCUAAGGCGCGAAAGCGUGGGGAGCGAACAGG
rnacentral:rRNA from 1 species